UACGGAGGGUGCAAGCGUUAAUCGGAAUUACUGGGCGUAAAGAGCUCGUAGGUGGUUUGCCGCGUCGUCUGUGAAAUUCCGGGGCUUAACUCCGGGCGUGCAGGCGAUACGGGCAUAACUUGAGUACUGUAGGGGAGACUGGAAUUCCUGGUGUAGCGGUGAAAUGCGCAGAUAUUAGGAGGAAUACCGGCGGCGAAGGCGACUUUCUGGAAUCUUACUGACGCUGAGGUACGAAAGCGUGGGGAGCAAACAGG
rnacentral:rRNA from 1 species